GUUAUCUAGACAGAGAACCUUCUCGCAACAAACGGCAAUCAUCUCGGUUUUGCUAAUAUCAAAAGGCUUCCCUGAGCGGAAAGAAUAGGAAAUAAUUGGUGCGAAACGGCUAAUAGGUUCACGAAGUGGGCUCCCUAUGAUCCCCGUAAGGACCCAGUCCUUGGAGUUAUACGGGAUCAAAAAGUCGAAUGGGUACUCGUCAUGUGUAAGAGUCUUUCGAACUAAUCUCUGCAAGUAAAUAUAAAUAGAGAGAGAGAGAGAGAGAGUUGAUGAAAACGAAUUCAAAAAAGGAAAAAAAAAAAAAAACUCCCGACAGAACAAAGAAGACAACAAACCUGCUCAGCUGUCUCGUUCGGGUAUUUGUAUGAGUAGUCGCAAACCUGGGGUCGGCUGGGAUUCAAAAGCAAAGCCAAUUUCUGGAAACAAAGAAAAAGAAAAACAAUUUCAAGUCGGUCCACACAAAAAAAAAAGGAGUAAUUUGAAUAAACAAUUGUACCCUGGAAUCGUCUUUCUUGUUGAUUGAAGUAAGGAACUGGAUCAAGGCAGGGUCUGGUCGUGAAUUGGGAUCAAAGCAUAUAUCUGCGCUUCUUGGGUCGUAAAAUUUUAGAAAUUCAUUCCAUGUUCCGUGCUCCCCUGACAAACCCAUACGAUGCACUGUUUUCGUCAGCUCUACUAACUCCUACAACCACAAUCAACCACGUUAAAAUAGAGAGAGAGAGAGCCAAAACGACCAAAAAUCUAAUCCCCAAAAAUAUAUAUAACUCUAUUGUCGAUCACUUACCGUUCUCUCCCUUGUGGCUAUUAUGUACUCCAUAACCUAGACCCGAGCUUGCGGAAUACCUAGAAUAGAAGAUAUAAAACUAUUGUUAGGUUCGGCUUUCAACUUUUAUACACAAGUCCCAAUGACACAUUGGGCUUUUUAGAGAUGUUUAUUUACUGAAAAAAGAAAGUUUUACUUUUAUCAUUCAUCAGUAUAUAUAUCUCAACUAUAUAUAUAAGAAGGUUAUCUUUCUAUGAAUUUGAUUAUCAAUUUGGUCUCGUUUGGUCCGGCCGCAAUAUUUUAAGAUGGUAACCGUUCAGGUUAUUGUGUUUUUUAGUUUGAUUUCGGAUCAGAUAAUUUCAGUUCGGUUUGAGCCAAUAAGAAGGUGGUCCAUGAUCCAGAACCAAUCUAGAAGAGAGAUGCAAGAUCAACACAGUGAUGUAUAUGGAGGUGGGGCAAGUUCGGAUUCUAAGAGUAAAGUGUUUCCGGAGAUUGUUAGGAAGCAGAGUGCUGAUGAGUCUUGGAAAGUUACUAAGAGAGGAAAGGCUCGUGUGGAGGAUAAGCAUCAGAUGUACAUGUCUGAAGCAGAACUGCAAAUGUAUGAGCCGAGUCAGUUACCAUUAUGAGGAAGGAGAAAUGUAAAACUCUCUUCCUUUUAUUUCUUGAGAGAGAUAAUGAUCUUAAUGUGUUGUGUGUGGAUGUGUCUAAUACUUUUGAUUUUGCACAAAAACAGUUUAGGUUUCAAGAGUGGGUGUUGGAUGUGGAUGAAGAGAGUAAUGGUUGUGGAGGAGGGGAGAUGGAGAUUGAAGGAAUCCAAACAAGAACGGUUGAAGCAAGGACAAGAGGUUUGGUUCCAGUGUGGGGUUAUCUCCAGUCUUCAAAACCCCAACAAGUGAUGAGAGAGUGAGUUUCUGGAAUCUGCUUACUCUCACUAGUUUUUUUUUCUCUCGACACUAAUACUAUGCCACAGAUCAUUCCAGAGUCCAAGGAACACUACACAAGGUGAUCAGGUGACUCCUCUAGAGGGUCAUGGAACAGAGACUGAGUUCGGAGUUGUACAUGGCAAGGAAGAGAACUUGAGAUCAGAAGAAGAGAGCGUGAGGUCUGAAGAAGGUAGCUCGAUAUCAGAAAGACCUAAGCCCAUGAUUAUCGAGGUUUGUUAAUGAGGUUUCUUUACCAAAAUUAGUGUGUGGGUCCCACCAAAAUUAUAAAAUCGGUGACAGAAAGGCAUGAGAUAAGGAUCUAUUGUGGUGGGUUUUUUGCACUGUUCGCGGACCCACCGACACGUGCCGGUCCGCGAUUGGUGCGGUUUUAAAUUUUUUUUUAUAAUUAGACAAAUUUUUUUUUUUUUAAGAAACCCAGAAGGAUUAUAGGGUCAAUGAUGCUCUAACGAAGGUAUUGCAAAAGAGUUGGAAUAGAAGGUGAUGUUGUUAUUCGUUUAUUUAUUUCACCACAAAUUCAGCUUCAUGUUCACAUACAGAAGAACAAACAUAACUGUGGAAAAAUUGUAUAGAAAAAGGAAAAGUAAAAAAAAAUUGACAUAUUGUUUAGAUGUAAAUAGGAAUAUACUUUUCUUUUUGUUACGGAUGCCCUUUGAUUCCCGAACAUCAUCUUGGCAUGUAAAUGAAACUAUAAAGAUUUAACAUUGUUUACUGCAAACUGGAACAAGUUUGAACAUAAAGAAAAGUUUCUACCACUUACAAAUGUGUUCAAAACAUGAAAAAUGUUUUUUGAAUGAUUAAAAUAUUUUGAGUUUAUAGAUCCGUACAUGUUUUAGAAAAAUCUACAUUGUAUCAUGUAAUUUAAUUCAGUUUUGGAGAACAAUCUUCUUCCAAUGGGAUGCAUAUGAUUUAUUAGAUUUUUAUUAGGUAGGUAACCCAAGAGUUUUACUGAUUCCGCCCAAGGAAUGGUACAAUGAACGACUUAAUAAACAUAAUUGCAGAUUUUCAAAAUGACCAUGAAGCUAGGCGGACAUGUUUACUUAUUGGUCAGAAACGCGACAGUUGACACGCAAGUCUCGGGAUGGGCUUUGGAAUUUAUAAAACGAGAAGUAUCAAACAUUAUUCCAUAUAUAUAACUAUGUAUUUUUCUAUGCAAUUUUAUGAAUAAUAUUUUAAAAUAUAUAAUUCAAACAUAUACAAAUACGAAUGAUAACUCUACCGUUGACAAUUACUUAAUUAAAUCUUAUACUAUUUCAAUUCUCUGUGUAAACAUAGAAUUCCGUGUCUACACUAUAACAUUUUAUUUCUGUUUGACCAUAUGGUUACUUUUUUUUUUUUUCACAGACCAAAUGGUUACUUAAAUUUAGAAUAUUAUAUGACUAACCAAUGAAAUUUAAACCAUUUUACAAUCUCUAGCUAAGUGAAUCAUCAUAAUACUCAAACCCAUUAUAGGAUAGAGUUUCUUAUUCGUAGAUAUUCAGAGUGUGAACUGAGCACAUGUCAUAGAUAAGUGACAUUUGCUAUAAGCUAAUAUUUAGUUUAGACUUAAAGAGUAGUUGACAAAAACUACAAGUUUGUUUUUAAGUUUUUUUUCUUAACUAGUGGACCUUUAAUCUAGUGGACCCUAAAAGUGGAAGAAGUAAUUAAAUUUCUACAUGUAUAUAUUUUAAAAAAAAACUGAAAUGAAAAAUUUAUGCAAGGAUGUCACGUAUAAAUCGAACAAUGGUCAAAAUUUUCAUUCAAUAUAUAAAUUAUUAAAAAAAUUACGAAAAGAGUAUGGCUGACUUUAGAGAGCAGUAUAUAAGGGUAAGAGUAUGCAUCUAAUUAACUUAAAACAACAAAGACAAUUGGUCUACUUCUCAAAUUGAUCCAAAGACCAAAGAUUCCUAAAGCUGCUUGAAACUAAAAAUGGCUCCACAAAAAUUCAUCAGAAAUGGCAUGACAAGUUUACCUCGGCUCGUAGAAGAGUAUCUCUCUAUGUUGAAGGAAACAUACGAAGGAACGGGAUUGCACCUAGCCACGCAACAAGGGGACGAGGUAUAUGCAAAGAAAAUAAUCGAGCUCUGCCCUUCCUUAGUCAUCUAUCCGCUAUUUAGCACACUGUCAAGAGCCCACAUUUCAGACACUGUUGAUAAUUAUGGAGGACACUGAUACCCCUAUACUUCAUAUUCGGUGUGUAUAGGCAAAAUAUAUUCCAAAGAUACGAUAGGAUUUGUAACAGGAUUUGUCAGACCAAAAUUACAACCCUUCUCUUGUUUAAGAUUUUAAAAAUCAAAAUUUUCAGUUUUUUUCUUUAUUCCGUCAUAUCCUAAAAAAUAAAAAAAAAAAAAAAAAAAAAAGAAGAAACCUUGAGAUUGCGGUCAACAGCAGCAACUCUAACAGCAGCUUCAGUGUUAUCUAGACAGAGAACCUUCUCGCAACAAACGGCAAUCAUCUCGGUUUUGCUAAUAUCAAAAGGCUUCCCUGAGCGGAAAGAAUAGGAAAUAAUUGGUGCGAAACGGCUAAUAGGUUCACGAAGUGGGCUCCCUAUGAUCCCCGUAAGGACCCAGUCCUUGGAGUUAUACGGGAUCAAAAAGUCGAAUGGGUACUCGUCAUGUGUAAGAGUCUUUCGAACUAAUCUCUGCAAGUAAA
rnacentral:lncRNA from 1 species